GAGACAGUGUCUUGUAUGGUCCAGACUGGACUGGGCUCUCCCUAUGUAGCGAAAGCUGUCCUUGAACUGCCAAUCUUCCUGUCUCAGUGAGAAGGAAAAAGAACCGAGGCAGCUGAAGAAAUGGUCCAGUUGGUAAAGCGCCCACUCUACAAGCGCGAGGCCCUGCGUUCAGAUCCUCGGCACUGAGAAAAAAAAGGAAGGAAAAGAAACACACAUGUUCUGGGGCUGGAGAAAUGCUUCAAUAGUAGGGUCCCUUGUGUGGGAUCCAAAUCCAGUUCCAUCACCUACAACUGCUUGUAACUGCGGCUCUGGGGAACCUGAUGCCCUCUUCUCUGCCCUCUUCUCGCCUUUGAGGGCAACUGCAUGCGUGUGCAGAGACACACGCAAACAUUUAAAACUUUUUUUAAAAUUUUUAUUUAUCUAAUGUAUAUUACAGAUGGUUGUGAGCCACCAUGUGGUUGCUGGGAUUUGAACUCAGAACCUCUGGAAGAGCAAUCAGUACUCUUAACCACUGAGCCAUCUCUCCAGAUCCCAGCACUCGGGAGACAGACGCUGGCUUACCUCUGAGUUCAAGGCUAGACUGGUCUACAUGACUUACCUGUAACCUGCCUUAGCUCUCUUGCCCCAGCUGGGAUGCAACUGGAUUGACAGCCCAGGGACUUGACAGCCUUCGUGCUGUUUUGGAGGCCCACGCUCCCAAAGUUCUUUCCUCGGGGUACCUUUCUGUUCCGUUGCCCUUUUCCUUUUUUUUUUUUUUUUUUUUUGGUUCUUUUUUUCCGGAGCUGGGGACCGAACCCAGGGCCUUGCGCUUCCUAGGUAAGCGCUCUACCACUGAGCUAAAUCCCCAACCCCCCCCCCCCCCCGUUGCCCUUUUCCAGAUCAAAAACUUCAGUGCGUGCCUCUACGGGUGGACCCUAGGUCUCAUGCCUAUGGUUUAGCUGCAAGGGUUUCUGGGAAAGUAAAUAAUCUGUCCUUUACUUUGGGGAAGUGGGAUUUACGACGUCAGAAAACCCCACACACAAGAAAGUUGAUCAAAGGGUUCUGGUUGCUCAUAAGAGGCAACAAAUGUCACCUAAACUGUGGCUUGGCUUACUCCUCCUCGAACACGGAAUGGCCUAAUUAUCGCAACAGAGUCUCAUAUAGGCCAGGCUGACCUCAAACCCACUUUGUAGCUAAGGAUGACCUUGAACUCUUCAUCCUCCUACGUCCUGCUGGAAUCAGAGCCCUGAGCCGCCACACCUGCCCUUCCUUCCGUGGCGCUGUGGGAAGGAGUUGAGGGUGUAUGGUGGGGCUGGAGAGACGGAUUAGCAGUUAAGAGCGCUUUCUGCUACCGCAAGGCAUCAGAGUUUAGCUCCUAGCACCCACAUGAGGUGCCUUAUAAACUCUACCUUUAACACCAGCUUUAGGGGAUCUGAUGCCCACACAGAGGAACCAAAAAAAUGUUAAUGUAAGCCAGCUAUGGUGGAGGUGCACACCUCUAGGCAGAGGCAAGUGGAUCUCUGUGGGUUUGAGAUCAGCCUGGGCUACAGAGCAAGUUCCAGGCCAGUCAAGGCCGUGUAGAAGUACCCUGCAUCAAACCAAGCCAAACAAAAACAAAACCUAAAAAACCCUAGCGACUAAAGAGGUGGGACAGUUGGAAAGCAAGCUCCCUGCUCCUGUGGAGGACCCCAGUUCAAUUCCCAGCCUCUCACAACUGUCGGUUACUCCAGCGCUCCUGGGAAUCUCUGACACACCUGAGACAGGCCUGCACUCACAUGUAUACAUCCAUACACACACCCUGGCCCAGACACUCACACGUAAACAUAAAUUAUAAGGUAGACGGACAAGGUUUUGAAAGAAUGAAGUAAAUAAGCAUCGACUGGUGACCACAGGCCACCUGUCUUCCCAGCCCCUCAAACCCGGGUCAGAUCUCGGUGUCAUGCACAUUUUCCAUCACAGCCCAAUUCCAUUCUGUUGAUUAUCUGAUGAAUGUCUGCCUUCCCUGGCCUACGGGGAGCUCACACUGCUGUCCUAGACCUAGGAAGACCGACAAGGCUCAGCCACACCAGGUCAGGGCCCGGCUGCAGGGCAGAAAGGGGCUGAGACCCAUCACAAAGACAGUCUGCAGCCUCCUGCCUCCCAGUCCCCAGAGAGGAGCAGCUGAUGGGUUUCUGGAGCUCUCCAAUCCAAUUAUUGCCCCCUCCUCUCUGGUGGAGGCCGAGCUGCCACGCCCUUCCCCGAGGUGGAGACUGGUGGGAAGGGAGAGGGCGAUGCUGAAUUCUGCACAUCGUGACCCAGCACCUCCUGGCAGCAGGCUGGCUCACCGUUACCCCGAGGCUGCUAUGACAGCGCCCGUUUCCAGGCGACUGUUCUCGGGGAAUGGUCUGUUUUGGCAACCAGAGGGCCCCUGGGUAAAGGGGCCUCCGUAGGCCGUACCAUUUGCAUAGCAACCUCCUCCCUCCCACGAGCAACUCUGCGACAUGCGACAGCCGGGGCGCCCGCCCCUGUCCUCGGCCUGGCCCGCCCCGCGGCUCAGCUCCCGCAGCCCUGUCACAGCCUGCGUCCUCUGGGAGCAGCGGCUACCCGCCCAGCCAGUGUAUUUCCGGAGAGGCUUGGUACCCUGGAGACCAGGGGAAGUGAUGCUGGGGGGCGGGGGGGGGCACAAAACACAAAUGGGGGAGGGGCGAUGAACUAUAAUCUUUCAAACCAGAGUCUGGGGAGCUGGCCUAUCUAAUUUGAAGAAACUGAAAGAGAAUCCUUGGAACCCUCGCUCCUUCGGGUGCACACCCACCCCAUUCCAGCAGACGCACACACGCCCCGCCCGAACAAGUCCACGAUGCCAGGCUGGACCUUCAGAGCACAGGAACCGCCCAAGGACACUUGCCUUGACUGGAACCCAAGCGGAGGCUGGGCAGAGGCAGGUCACCCCAGCUGAGUGAUCACAUUACCCUGGCAGCUGUCCAAGGGGCAGUUCCCAGCUGCACCUGUUUGUAGGACGACCGCUUUUAUCAGUAUUGACACAGCAGCGGGUCUGGGAACAGCAUUGCAAUAAAUAAAUGGAGGGGGGUGCAGGCGGGACAGGGGCAGAGCCACUGAGGCCAGCAGAAAGGGAUGAGGUCUUUUGCUGAUUGUCAGCACUUUCAGUUCAAAUACCACCACCACCCCCUCUCCCUCCCUGGAACCUCUAAAGAUCCUGCAGGCUGACUUGUGCCUAAGAGCCCUGGGUCUUAAAGAGAUAGAAUUGCAGAAUCACCUUAGGCUCUCUUCACGUCUAGCUCAACGAUUAAGAGCAGCGGCUGCUUCUGCAGACAACUUAGGCUCUGUCUGCAGCACCUGUAGGGGCGGCUUGCAACCACCUACGUGUGACUCCAGUUCCAGGGGAUCUAAUGUCUUCUUCUGAUCUCAGAAUGAAACAGGAACCCACAUGGCACACGGAUAUCCAUGCGGGGGGGGGGGGGGAACACUGAUAAAUAUAAGAUAAAAAUAAACCUUAAAACAACAAGAA